rnacentral:other from 1 species
ACAGACCUGAGAUGUUUGCGAAGCUUGUUUAUUUCAACCGACAUACUAAUUAAGGGAGCUGGCGUCAAAUAGUGGAUGUUAAGUCUGUUUAGCAGAAAAACUGAAGUUAUUUGCAGGCACCCACCUGCUUAAUGGCGGGAUUUGAAAUAGCAAGCAGCGGCAUGUUGGGUUAUUA